GAUGAAGAACGCAGCGAAAUGCGAUAAGUAAUGUGAAUUGCAGAAUUCAGUGAAUCAUCGAAUCUUUGAACGCACCUUGCACCCUUUGGUAUUCCGAAGGGUAUGCUCGUUUGAGUGUCAUUGUACUCUCACACUUCUAAUUCCUUUUGGGAUUGGGAGCGGUGGACUUGGGUGUUGCUGCUUUAGUUGUGGCUCACCUCAAAUAAGUUAGUGCAACUCUUGGUUGGACAUAGUACGGCGUGAUAAGUGUCUUCGCCGGCGCCUCUGUAAGGAGGGUGGCCGAUCGGGAGCUCUGUGCUUCAAACCGUCUUCGGACAAUCUUUGACAACUUGACCUCAAAUCGAGUAGGACUACCCGCUGAACUUAAGCAUAUCAAUAAGCGGAGGA
rnacentral:misc_RNA from 1 species